AAUUCAUCAACAAACCUUGGUUCAAGGUACCAUUUGGAACAUAUGCAGUUGAACUCGUUGCAGGGAGGGAAAGUGCUAUCGCCCAGGUCAUCAGGACCGUCCCCAAAAAGUCUUACAAUCUCACAUUCGUCGUUGGUGAUGCGAAAAAUGGCUGCCAUGGAUCAAUGGUUGUUGAGGCCUUUGCCAGCAAUGCAACUUUGAAAGUUCCUUAUGACUCUCACAGUAAAGG
rnacentral:misc_RNA from 1 species